UUUGAAAUCUCCGAUGCCUGCAUCGGCGAGUUGUAGUUGCGAGAAGCACUUUCUAGGCGGAUCGGCGGUGCCUAAGUUGCUUGGAACAGCACGUCGCAGAGGGUGACAACCCCGUCUGUGGCGCCGCCGGCCGCUGACGAUGCGCUUUCGAAGAGUCGGGUUGUUUGGGAAUGCAGCCCAAAAUGGGUGGUAAACUCCAUCUAAAGCUAAAUACUGGCGUGAGACCGAUAGCGAACAAGUACCGUGAGGGAAAGAUGAAAAGAACUUUGAAAAGAGAGUUAAAAAGUACGUGAAACCGUCGGAAGGGAAACGAAUGGACUCAGCAAUGCGCCCUCUGAGAUUCAGCCGGUGGGUGUGGUCGGCGCGGGGUUUGCGGAUCUGAAUGGACCGCGGCCCGGCGCUCGGCGCUCCCCCGCCGUCGCACUUCUCUGGGGCGCGCGUCAACGUGGGUUGGGACUGGGUCUGAAAGGUGCCGGGAAGGUAGGUGUGGGCCUUCGGGUCCGUUCUGUUACAGCCCGGUUCUCUCGUGGCUCGGGCCCGACCGAGGAGGAAGGGCAUGCCUCCUGUGGCUAGGGUCCCGUCCUUCCGGCCGGCUGUCCAGUGCGGUGGACUGCUUGCAGUGCUCCGCGACGGCUGCCGGUCGUUGGGGUGGUGAUCUCGUACCAUG
rnacentral:rRNA from 1 species